GUUUUUGUAGUUGAAUAACAACGAUGGUUUUUCAUAUCAUAGGUCUUGGUUUGAAUCCAGGCGAGAAU
rnacentral:tRNA from 1 species